rnacentral:rRNA from 1 species
GUGCCAGCCGCCGCGGUAAUACCGGCAGCUCAAGUGAUGGCCACUCUUAUUGGGCCUAAAGCGUCCGUAGCUGGCUGCGCAAGUCCGUCGGGAAAUCCACUCGCCCAACGAGUGGGCGUCCGACGGAAACUGCACAGCUUGGGACCGGAAGGCUCGAAGGGUACGGCCGGGGUAGGAGUGAAAUCCUGUAAUCCCGUCCGGACCACCGAUGGCGAAAGCACUUCGAGAAAACGGAUCCGACAGUGAGGGACGAAAGCUAAGAUCGCGAACCGGAUUAGAUACCCCUGUAGUCC